AUGGGGCCCGCGCCGGCGUUCUGCCCGGCUGCAAGCCCUUGGAGGCGGACGGGAUCUAAUCAGCUCGCUCCCCGACGACCUGCUCAUCCUCGUCCUCGACCGCCUCCACUGCGCCGCCGCCGUCGCGCGCACAGGCGUCCUCUCCCGCCGGUGGCGCAGCCUCUGGGCCCGCCAGGCCGCCACCGCCAGAUCGUCUUCCGCGACGUCCCGUACCGCUCGCUCGAAGCGGCGCUCGGCCGCCUCCCUCGUCCCCCGCCCGCUGUUCGCCUCCUCGACGUCCGCAUCCCCCAGCGCGGCCCUGAGGACCAGCGCGCCGACGAGGCCAGCGUCAAGUCGCUGCUCUGCGCAGCGGCGCUGCUCGAGCCGGAGAAGUUCGUCUUUGAGAUCCCCUCCGAUUCGGGGUUAAUCCACGGCUCCCUCGUCGUCAACCUGCCUAGCUUCCAACGCGCCACCUCCAUCGUUCUGAACCUUCGCUACGUCUUCCUCCGCGUGCCAGCCGGCGCCGAGUUUGCCGCACUCGAGACGCUGUCCCUCUCGUACGGCACCGUUGCCAUUGACCGCUUGCUCUCCUGCUGCCCACGCCUGCGCAAGCUCUGCCUCGCCUGGGUUUCUUUCAAUAAGGGCGACCUGACGGUCAAAUCGGCGUCGCUGCAGGAGCUUCUCCUGGAGGGCCAUGCCGAGCAGAUAGAAACUAUCGACAUCGAAACCCCCGCGCUUAAGCAAUUAAUCAUAUCCUUUUCCGCUCCGGAUGACAUUUCCGUCUUGACACCGAUGCUGGAGAUGCUUUGGUGGCACUGCUACUUCAGGGUGCAUGUUAUGUUUGAUCUUUGGCGACUCCAGCAGGUGACACUAAUGACGGCAGAGGGACAAGGACAGCUCCGUUCGCUGCACAUUGACGCUUGCGCCAGACUGUCUUUUUUUCACGGUAAAAUGGACGCCUUUACAGAGGAGAUAGAGAAGCAUAUGAUUGUCAAGUUUUCUGUUUUGGAGCUACGUCUCGCAACAAACGGACAUGGUUUUGGAGCACUCGUCUUCCAUCUCCUAGGGAUGAAUCGAAUUCGUCGUGCUACGCGGAGGCUCAAGAUCUCCCUGGAGAACAUUGGUGAAUGA
rnacentral:rRNA from 1 species